AUGCUCACCACCUUCUCUUCGAACAGAGGUUGUACAAGCUAUUGCGAUGGAAGUAGCAGUGGCAGCUGUGUGUACCGCGAGGAGAAAAUUACAGUAUCAGGUGGUGUUGUCGAGCUACAGAGCUUUGUGAUAUGGAAAUUGCAAGUUGAUGAUGAUGUAUUAGGAUUUGAAGAUACUGAAGGUGCAGUGACGUUAGAGAAGGUUGAGGAUGAAUUUAGAGGUAGGCUGUAA